rnacentral:rRNA from 1 species
ACUCCUACGGGAGGCAGCAGUGGGGAAUAUUGGACAAUGGGGGCAACCCUGAUCCAGCGACGCCGCGUGUGUGAAGAAGGCCUGCGGGUUGUAAAGCACUUUUAGUGGGGAUGAAAAGCUCCGUUCUAAUACAGCGGGGUCUUGACCUAACCCAAAGAAAAAGCACCGGCUAACUCUGUGCCAGCAGCCGCGGUAAU